rnacentral:rRNA from 1 species
UUCCGGUUGAUCCUGCCGGACCUGACUGCUAUCGGAUUGAUACUAAGCCAUGCGAGUCUUUGUAGUAAUACAAGGCAUACGGCUCAGUAACGCGUAGUCAACCUACCCUAUGGACAAGAAUAAUCUCGGGAAACUGAGCAUAAUUCUUGAUAGAUCAUAAUGCCUGGAAUGGUUUAUGGUUAAAAUGAUUCGUCGCCAUAGGAUGGGACUGCGGCCUAUCAGCUUGUUGGUGAGGUAAUGGCCCACCAAGGCGAUUACAGGUACGGGCUCUGAGAGGAGAAGCCCGGAGAUGGGUACUGAGACAAGGACCCAGGCCCUAUGGGGCGCAGCAGGCGAGAAAACUUUGCAAUGUGCGAAAGCACGACAAGGUUAGUCCGAGUGAUUUCUGCUAAAGAGAUCUUUUGCUAGUUAUAAAACCACUAGUGAAUAAGGGGUGGGCAAGUUCUGGUGUCAGCCGCCGCGGUAAAACCAGCACCUCAAGUGGUCAGGAUGAUUAUUGGGCCUAAAGCAUCCGUAGCCGGCUCUGUAAGUUUUCGGUUAAAUCUAUGCGCUCAACGUAUGGGCUGCCGAAAAUACUGCAGAGAUAGGGAGUGGGAGAGGUAGACGGUACUCGGUAGGAAGGGGUAAAAUCCUUUGAUCUAUCGAUGACCACCUGUGGCGAAGGCGGUCUACCAGAACACGUUCGACGGUGAGGGAUGAAAGCUGGGGGAGCAAACCGGAUUAGAUACCCGGGUAGUCCCAGCUGUAAACGAUGCAGACUCGAUGAUGCAUUGGCUUAUUGCCAAUGCAGUGUCGCAGGGAAGCCGUUAAGUCUGCCGCCUGGGAAGUACGUACGCAAGUAUGAAACUUAAAGGAAUUGGCGGGGGAGCACCACAAGGGGUGAAGCCUGCGGUUCAAUUGGAUUCAACGCCGG